rnacentral:rRNA from 1 species
CUCAGGACGAACGCUGGCGGCGUGCCUAAUACAUGCAAGUCGAACGCUUCUUUCCUCCCGAGUGCUUGCACUCAAUUGGAAAGAGGAGUGGCGGACGGGUGAGUAACACGUGGGUAACCUACCCAUCAGAGGGGGAUAACACUUGGAAACAGGUGCUAAUACCGCAUAACAGUUUAUGCCGCAUGGCAUAAGAGUGAAAGGCGCUUUCGGGUGUCGCUGAUGGAUGGACCCGCGGUGCAUUAGCUAGUUGGUGAGGUAACGGCUCACCAAGGCCACGAUGCAUAGCCGACCUGAGAGGGUGAUCGGCCACACUGGGACUGAGACACGGCCCAGACUCCUACGGGAGGCAGCAGUAGGGAAUCUUCGGCAAUGGACGAAAGUCUGACCGAGCAACGCCGCGUGAGUGAAGAAGGUUUUCGGAUCGUAAAACUCUGUUGUUAGAGAAGAACAAGGACGUUAGUAACUGAACGUCCCCUGACGGUAUCUAACCAGAAAGCCACGGCUAACUACGUGCCAGCAGCCGCGGUAAUACGUAGGUGGCAAGCGUUGUCCGGAUUUAUUGGGCGUAAAGCGAGCGCAGGCGGUUUCUUAAGUCUGAUGUGAAAGCCCCCGGCUCAACCGGGGAGGGUCAUUGGAAACUGGGAGACUUGAGUGCAGAAGAGGAGAGUGGAAUUCCAUGUGUAGCGGUGAAAUGCGUAGAUAUAUGGAGGAACACCAGUGGCGAAGGCGGCUCUCUGGUCUGUAACUGACGCUGAGGCUCGAAAGCGUGGGGAGCAAACAGGAUUAGA